rnacentral:misc_RNA from 1 species
UAAUAAAUGAAUAUAAUGCAAAAUGCAGAUUACAAUAAGGUUGGAGUUAUUUAAAUCUAUAAUGUAAGCAGUAAUUGUAAUUUAAUUUUUUUUUUUUUUUUUUUUUUUUUUUUUUUUUUUUUUUUUUUUUUUUUUUUUUUUUUAUAUCCAUAUAUAUGUAUAUAUGUAUAAAUUUUUUUUUUUUUUUUUUUUUUUUUUUGUUUUAUUUUAUAGUUUUUUUUUUUUUUUUUUUUUUUUUUUUUUUUUUUUUUUUUUUUUUUUUUUUUCAUAUAUAUGGUUUUUUUUUUUUUUUUUUUUUUUUUUUUUUUUUUUUUUUUUUUUUUUUUUAAUUAUGAGUUUUUUUUUUUUUUUUUUUUUUUUUUUUUUUAAAUAA